GAUUUUCUGUAGUAUGAUUCUCUGGGCGUGAAUGAUUAACCCUUGUCGCACUCGUUUGUGUAAUGUUGAUGAUUUUUCAUAAACUCUGAUCUUCAGAUGCGAUGUGAAGAAUCUGUUUGUUGAUAGACAUUAAGAAUUUUCUAGUGUUUGGUUUUGCGUCAAGAUUGUAUUGUUCGUUGAUGAAUCUGAGAUAUGAAUGUCGACAUUCCACCAAGUUGAUCAUAUUGUAUACCUGAAUCAUGAGCUCAGCUUCACCAUCAUUUGCGCAGCAUCGCCAACAGAUUAACAAUUUCGGUGCUGCCGACGGGUUGUGAAAAUACAGAGGUGCUUUCUCGUCGGAGCAUUUCUUUGGAUGGCGGGAAUUCCCGAAUUACGGAUUUAGAGCUACGAUAAUAAGUAGACUGUUGUAUACUUUUAAGGUCAAAAUACAGAGUUGAUCAUAGUUUCAACACAAUAUUCUUCGAAUUUGAUUAAGCUACUUGAUUUUAUUUCAAUAAUCAACACAGUAGCUCAAAAUCAUCAAGUCUCAAGAAUUUGAUAAGGAAUAGAUUCAAAAUUGAGAACAUAUAUUUGAAUUUGAUCAAGUCAUUGGUUCAAAUCGUCUAGUGUGUUUGCAUGUAUAUUUGAUAGGAUUUUUGUACCCUAAGUAUCUGUGAAUUGCCAUAAUUGAAAAAUUAUGUGUGAUUGUAAGACGUAAAUGUUUCAAAUUGUUUACCAAACAAAAGUAGAUGUAGUCUUAAUAGUCCAAUAAAAGUAGAUGUAGUCUUAAUACUCGAAUAAACUUUCAAUUCUUUUUGUUUAAAUUUAAUUAAAUGUGAUUAACUUUCGUAUUGUUUAUCAAAUAAAAGAAGACUUGUGAUCUUAAUAGUCAAUGAACUUUGGGAUGUUUUCUAGUAUAUAAGUGUUAUGUUCUGUCCCAUAGGGUUCACAAAUCACACCCCUCUGCCUUUGAUUUUUCUGUGUGGGUGGGCAUGACUGAAAGGGACAAGUUCAUCUACACUGCCGAGCUGGCCUAUGGGGCACAACGUUACGAUGGUGAAUAUCUUUUAUUUAUGCAAUCCGAUGCAUUAUAUUAAACUAUUUUUGGAUCCGCGUUGUGGUUUAUACAACCCCCAAGCCUUAAUUCUUCCUUUCUUUUAUGUGAUAUGUUUACGGUAGAGAUGGUGGAAGCCAUGAAGAGCGUGGUGAUCAAGUAUGGCGCAGAAUUAACCGUUAAAGAGCGGAACUUGUUCUCCUACGCCUUCAAGGAAGCAAUUGGAGCGAGGCGAGCUUCGUGGAGGAAUCUAUCUGAAAGGAGUGAAGAUGAAGUGAACGCUGAGUGGUUCAAAGAAUACAGAGACAAGGUUGAAACUGAGGUUAAUAAUAUGUGCACCGAUGUCAUGGCUUUGAUUGAUGACCAUCUCAUUCCGGCUACACAUACCCCAGAGUCGAUCGUCUUCUACUACCGAAUGUGAGAAACAAUUUCGAUUUGUUGUUUAUGCAUGUCGUUAGUUCUUACAGGAUUUUAAUCCGAUCGAAUGUUUCAUGAUAUGGUUGUAGAAAGGGGGAUUUUCACCGGUAUCUUGCUGAAUUCAGGAACGGUGUCGAGAAGGAGGAAGCUGUCCAUAAUUCAUUGAAGUCUUAUGAGGUAUUGUCCUACUUUCCAUCGAAAUUCUGUUCGACGACUAGUUGGUGUGUACAAAUAAGAGUUACAUGUGUCGCAGAAAGCUACCAACUUGGCAGAAGCAAAAAUUGGCCCGAGUAGACCCGGUUAGAUUGGGUGUGGCACAGAAUUUCUCGUUCUUUUGUUACCAAACACUGAAAUCACCUCAAAGGUACAUACUUACUAAUGGUGUAUGGAAAUGAAAGAACAAGUAACAUGGAUUGAUUGUAUGUUCCCCUCUCAUCAUUAGGGCCUGCGACGUUGCAAGGCGGGCUUUGGAUGAAGCUACAUCGGAACUCCACACCGUAAAGGGCGAGUCCUUCGGGGACAUCUCCGCCAUAGUGCGGGAUCUAAUGGACAAUUUAACUUUGUGGACUCCUCAGAUACCUGAGGAUCAUGGAGGUGAUUCUAGCUGAUUGACUUACCUGUGCAUCCACUCGUUACAUUGCAAUCUUCCCUGCGGUGUUGAUUUACUAUAUAAUUUUCCUUCCUUUGUAUGUUCAACUGUCGUCGAUACUGCUAUAUUGAUUUUCUGUAGUGUGAUUCUCCGAGGAUGAAUAAUUCGACAUGUUUAUAAUAAUUUUCUAGUGUUUGGUUUCCCUCCAAAUUUCUCCUUUAUUUUUAUUACUCUUUACUUUUGUACACUAUUCAUUAGUUUCAUUCCUGUAAGCUGAUCAUAUGAGCUAAAGGUAGAUAUGAAUUAUGAGUUCUAACAUACCCAACUAUAUAGGUUUUAACAAAGUUAAUUUGUCGAAUAUUAGUCAAUUUCAAAAAAUUUAAUUUUCAUGGAUUACAUCAAAAUUCAUGAAAUUUUCAAAUUAUUUCAUAUUUAAAAAUGAUUAAAAAUCCAAAUUUCACCAUAUUAACCCUCUAAAUAAUAAUAUAACCUUCACCAAAAA
rnacentral:lncRNA from 1 species